GAAAUUCAGUACCUAUAGUUAUAUAAAUAUUUAAGAAAGAAUGACCUAUACUUAUAUACAAUAUUUAAAAUAUGAGCCAUGCUUAUAUAAGCACUGCUUAUAUAAGCACUUACUCACCGGGGUUCAUUUGGGAACUUAUUUGAAAGCACUUUGUUUGAAAGGUGAACUUUCAAAUGAAUUGAUUUAAUUUAAUAUAAUAAUUGAC
rnacentral:lncRNA from 1 species